CAGGAUGAACGCUAGCUACAGGCUUAACACAUGCAAGUCGAGGGACAGCAUGAUCGAAGCUUGCUUUGAUUGAUGGCGACCGGCGCACGGGUGAGUAACGCGUAUCCAACCUUCCCUAUAGUAGAGAAUAGCCCGGCGAAAGUCGGAUUAAUGCUCUAUGUUGUAUUUAGAAGACAUCUGAAGAAUACCAAAGGUUUACCGCUAUAGGAUGGGGAUGCGUCUGAUUAGGUAGUAGGCGGGGUAACGGCCCACCUAGCCGACGAUCAGUAGGGGUUCUGAGAGGAAGGUCCCCCACAUUGGAACUGAGACACGGUCCAAACUCCUACGGGAGGCAGCAGUGAGGAAUAUUGGUCAAUGGACGGAAGUCUGAACCAGCCAAGUAGCGUGCAGGAAUGACGGCCCUAUGGGUUGUAAACUGCUUUUAUAUAGGGAUAAAGUCAGGGACGUGUCCCUGUUUGCAUGUACCAUAAGAAUAAGGACCGGCUAAUUCCGUGCCAGCAGCAGC
rnacentral:rRNA from 1 species